GUUUAGUGUUAGGACUACACCUGUAUAUAGAUCUAGGGAAGGGACACUAUAGGGUUAGGAAUACAGAUUUGUGUGUUCCUUUAACUCUCAACUCAUCAAGCCUUUCAGGAGUGGACAGCAGCCGAAUGAAGGAACACAGGAGAUAGAUCUGGCAGCCAGGGACCAUUGAGACACAGUUGUUAUGGUGGUGGGAGUGCUCACUUGUAUUAUAUUUUUUCUUUAAUUACCAAGCAGC